rnacentral:lncRNA from 1 species
GUCUUUCUCACCAACAUGAAGACCUCAACUGUUUGUUCCAUGCAUGAACCAAGGCGACAGCAGCUUUCAGGGUUUUACAGUGCAACUGUGUCACAGCAGCUGGAGGAAGCAUUAAACCAGUUUUUGAGUGGGCGUUCCCUGCUUUGGGCUGGCAGUGAGGAUCUUCAGCAAUGCCUCCCGAUGGUAAUUGCCCAGAUUUUGUUGCACGUGCACCAGCAGAAGUGGGAAGACCUGUGCUUUAGGAAAAAGCUCGCAGUUUUUAUGCUGUAUUGUAAAAGCCUGCAGUGUAGCUCUCCCUGCUACCAAACAGAAAUCUGUAAACAUCAAGAAGCAUUGGCAUCAUUUUCAGCUCUGACUGCUUUGAAGGAUUAAAUUGAGAAUGUGUGCCGGAUGCCCUGGCACCAGAGAAGCUUUGAAACCUUCUCCUGUUUCUUCAACACCUGAUGGUGAUUGUUUGACUGGAGAUUUACAGCUGACCUGAAGCUCAAAGCUUUCAAGUAGCUGAAGUUACAGAAGCUUGAAAUGGUGCUGGAUUCACUGGAGUGAUAGUGUUAUCGUCAUCCCAUGGCUGCUGAACAGUGAAAUGAAAUGGUAAUUUCUGCAUUCCAGUCGUCAAACAUUCCUAUCACCAAAAACACCAACACAACUCAAAGAAAAAGUUAUUUAGAGGCCUUAUCUUCCGGAUAUGUUCAAGCUCUAACCACAUCAGUAACAUGUCUACCUUUAAUGGAAUAUCUCCUGUGAUAGUUUAUUGUACAUACAAGAACUUGCAAAAGGAAGGCCUCAGUUAUUCAUCUCUGAGGGGAAGCAGCUCAAGAAACUGUGAUCAGGGAAGAAAAGAGACUUCCUCCCCCUGUUCUCAGAGACAAUCCCAUCCCCUCAGGGCUGAGGAGAACUGAUGAAGCCAAAUGGUGUGCAGGGGCAUCUCUGCAAAAUGGGGCCUGUGCAGUAUUUUCUUUCACAGAAUGGCAGAAUCACAGCUGUUGUUGACAGGCACUGCUGGAGAUUGGCUAGUCCAACCCCCCUACUCAAGCAGGGUCAGCUAGAGUGGGCUGCUCAGGACCAAUCCCAGGCUUUGAAUAUUUCCAAGGACGGAGACCCUACCAUCUCACUGGAAAACCCGUGCCACUCACUGUUUGAUCACCUUCACAGUAAAAAAUGUUUUUCAUAUGUUCAGAGGGAACCUCCUGUGUUUCAGUUUGUGCCCACUGCCUCUUGACCGGUGAGGAGAAUCUGUCUCAGCCCUCCCCUCGACCUGCUGGCAACUCUGGCAAUACUCUGCCAAACUCAGCCCAGGGAGCUGGGGGCCUUCUUUGCACCGAGGACGCAUUGCUUUCAGUAAAGGUGAUAUGGGUCUGUCAAAAUCUGGGUUCCCUUCAGAGACUCUAAUUUCUCAGGCAUUAUGAAGGUCCUAAAUUGCACAUAAAACUCUGAAACACACCCUUAUCUGUCCCCCUGUCUCCCCUCCAUCCACUGUUCCAAAGAAACCAGUAGUACAUGAGAACCAAGAAAUAAAGAUGCAAGUUCUUUACA